rnacentral:siRNA from 1 species
UCACAUUGAGUUUGGGGACAUC